UGAUUGGUUGCCAUGGGCAACUGGGCAACUUUUCCUCUGGACAAGUUUUGAUAAAUCUUGCCCAAUGUCCUAAAAAUGUAAAAUGGAGCUGUCCCUACCUGGAGCACCUAACCCUGGCAAAGACUGAAGCAUGCAAACAGAGGAGAGGGUUGCAGAGCAGUAUGCAGUGAUUUGAUGAAGAGACUCAGUACAGCACAGCAGACUCAGGGAGAAAGUGAAUGCAAGGCUGUAAUUUGUCACUGUCAACAUAGAGAUUAGUUCAUAUCUUCCUUGACUGUGAGAAGCUACAAAAUAUUGGGCAAAAAGUACAGGACUUGAAAAGGCGAAAAGAGAUUCCGUGGUCUACAAGGGCGCUCAUCUUAAAUAUUGGGCUAGAAGAGGUUGAGUAUAGAGAAAUUAUUAUAAAACUUUGGGGUUUGACCACACUGAUAAUACUAAGGGGAUGAUUUUAUGAAAAUUGGAAGAAAAAAGAUUAGUAAGUGACCCCAUAGAGUCCGAUAAUUGCUCAUUGUCAGUAUACUAGUUGAUGAGUUAUAAGUGAAAAUGAACGUCCCCUGGAGGAUGUGUCAUUCAUAGUCAUACUGCUUUGCCCCGUGUCAGUCUUCGGCUAGUAAACUUUUAUGAUGUUACCUCUGCGAAACCUGUUCAUGAUGAGUCAGUAAUGAAAUCCAAAGCAUGAAUCAUUGAGCUCAAAGUUCUUUCGGGGAACUUCAUUGCCACACCUGACUGACCUGUUCUAAAAAAUAAACUUGUUACAGUCAUUUUGAAAAUAUUAGGUCAUUUCUGUGUAAAAGGCUUAUUUAUUCUCACAGCCUCAUGGCAAAAGGAAGGACAAAAAUACUUGUUUGUACCCCAGUAGGAGGUUUGUUACAGUGUGUCACCCCGGUAGUAAGUAAGUUACAUGAGGAGGAGGUUUGUUAUAGUGUGUCACCCCAGUAGUAAGGAGAUUACAUGAGGAAGAAGUUUGUUACAGUGUGUCACCCCAGUAGUAAGCAGAUUACGUGAGGAGGAGGUUUGUUACAGUGUGUCACCCCAGUAGUAAGUAGAUUACAUGAGGAGGAGGUUUGUUACAGUGUGUCACCCCAGUAGUAAAGUGAUUACAUGAGGAGGGGGUUUGUUACAGUGUGUCACCCCAGUAGUAAGUCGAUUACAUGUGAAGGGGUUUGUUACAGUGUGUUACCCCAGUAGUAAGUAGAUUACAUAAGGAGUAGGUUUGUUACAGUGUGUC